GAUGCUUUGCCUUUCUCUCCCAACUCUCCAUCUUCUCCUACUUUUACCUAAAACACGUUAUCACACACGAACUCUAACCUUGGCGUAAAAGAGAUAAAAAAAAUUUCUUCCGGUUAUCAUCGAUUCUGUGAACAACACUUCAGAAAGUUCAAUUGGAUUUGGCUUCAACAAUUUUUUUUCUCACUAAUUGUUCUCAAUACAUCUGUAUUUUCUUGGGUCUUUUGAGGAGUUAAUUAUCAAAUCAAAUCACGUAAGGAGUUGGAUCGUUAUUUCAGUUUUUCUUUCAAUCACGGAGAAUGUGUUGGUGGAAUAUCUAACACACGGAGACGCUGCCGCACGGAAAAAGAAAAGAAACCGGAGAAAGAGAAUUGUCACCGAAUCGAUACACCUUGCGGUCCAACUCGGCCCCGAUCCAGCGGUCCAACUCGACCCCGAUCCAGCGGUCCAACUCGGCCCCUGUUCAGUUCCAGCCGAGCCAGUCAUGUUCCGAUUUGGUUCUGCUCCGUUGAGGUUAUCCUGUCCCGUUGCAAACUUUAGUUCCGGGGCCUGCACGGUUAAUGUCGUUCCGGUUUUGGCUGUGUAUGGUGGGAACCAAAUCUUUGAGAUACAUACAGUGAUUAUUUUUUGGGCUUACUUAUUUUAUUUUCCAUUAUUUUUAUCUUUGGUUUAAGAUAAGUCCAUACCAUAUUUAAAUUAUGAUCGUUGAUCUCGAUUAUUAAGAAAAUGUGUAUAUCUCAUAUAAAACUCUCUACCAAUGAUAAUGUACCGUCUAAAAGGUGGAGCCAUAUGUCUCUAUGCUAUGAAGAAAAUUUAAACUCUCAUGAUUUUAUUUUA